CUAAAAACAUAUCAAAAAAAUCUUUAAAAAAUAAUAAAAAUAAAAAUUAAUUAAAUCCUAAUUAAAUCUUAAUAUAAUCUUCAAUCAAUCAUAACCAAAUUUUAAAUAAAUCCUAAUAAAAUCCUAAAUUAAUCCUAAUUAAAUCCUAAAUAAAUCCUAAUCAAAUUCUAAACUAAUCUUAAUCAAAUCUUAAUGAAAUCCUAAAUCAACUCUAAUCAAAUCCUAACCAAAUCAUAACCAAAUUCCAAUGAAAUCCUAAAUAAAUCUUUAUCAAAUUCUAAUCAAAUCCUAAAUCUUAACCAAAUCUUAGAUCAAAUCCUAAUAAAAUCCUAAUCAAAUCUUAAUCAAAUUUUAAUCAGAUUUUGAACCAAAUUCUAAUAAAAUCCUAAAUUUAACCUUAAUUAAAUCCUAAAUCAAACCAUAAAUCCUAAACCAAACCUAAUCAAAUCCUAAAUCCUAAGCAGAGUCUUAAUAAAUCCUAUAUUAGAUUGAAACUUCAACAAAUAAUGUUCAAAGCAUUGAUAUCAACUUAAAAAAUAUAUACUUCUCAAAAACUUA
rnacentral:lncRNA from 1 species